rnacentral:rRNA from 1 species
GACGAACGCUGGCGGCGUGCUUAACACAUGCAAGUCGAACGCUGAAGCACCAGCUUGCUGGUGUGGAUGAGUGGCGAACGGGUGAGUAAUACGUGAGUAACCUGCCCUUGACUCUGGGAUAAGCCCGGGAAACUGGGUCUAAUACUGGAUGCUACAUGUCACCGCAUGGUGGUGUGUGGAAAGGGUUUACUGGUCUUGGAUGGGCUCACGGCCUAUCAGCUUGUUGGUGAGGUAAUGGCUCACCAAGGCGACGACGGGUAGCCGGCCUGAGAGGGUGACCGGCCACACUGGGACUGAGACACGGCCCAGACUCCUACGGGAGGCAGCAGUGGGGAAUAUUGCACAAUGGGCGAAAGCCUGAUGCAGCGACGCCGCGUGAGGGAUGACGGCCUUCGGGUUGUAAACCUCUUUCAGCAGGGAAGAAGCCACAAGUGACGGUACCUGCAGAAGAAGCGCCGGCUAACUACGUGCCAGCCGCCGCGGUAA